rnacentral:rRNA from 1 species
GUAGUGCACUCCUACGGGAGGCAGCAGUGGGGAAUAUUGCACAAUGGGCGCAAGCCUGAUGCAGCCAUGCCGCGUGUAUGAAGAAGGCCUUCGGGUUGUAAAGUACUUUCAGCAGUGAGGAAGGUGGGUAUGUUAAUAGCAUACUCAUUUGACGUUAGCUGCAGAAGAAGCACCGGCUAACUCCGUGCCAGCAGCCGCGGUAAUACGGAGGGUGCGAGCGUUAAUCGGAAUUACUGGGCGUAAAGCGCAUGCAGGUGGUUUGUUAAGUCAGAUGUGAAAGCCCGGGGCUCAACCUCGGAAUUGCAUUUGAAACUGGCAAACUAGAGUACUGUAGAGGGGGUAGAAUUUCAGGUGUAGCGGUGAAAUGCGUAGAGAUCUGAAGGAAUACCGGUGGCGAAGGCGGCCCCCUGGACAGAUACUGACACUCAGAUGCGAAAGCGUGGGGAGCAAACAGGAUUAGAUACCCUGGUAG